CCCAGUGAUAUACCCUGGCCCAUCCCCUGCUGCUCGCUCUUGGCCCCUGGUUCCCUUCAUCAGAGCUUGUGCUCCUGUUUGUUCUCCUCACCCUCACCCCACCUGGAGCCCUGGAUCUUCCCUAAACAAACCCUGCUGGAUCUGCCAAGCCAAGAGUGCCCUCGUCUGUCUGACUCCUGAUACUUAUGUUGGUUUGAUGUGACCAACAGAAGAGUUUGGCUCUGCUUUUAAUUGAAACAAGCAGCAGAGCUGGAACCUGUUGAAGAGAGUCUCUUCACAGCUAAAGCAAACUGCCAGGGUUCUUUUUUUCCAGCUGUGGGUAGGACGAUAAAAAUUUCUCCGCAGUAAAUCGUCCUGACCAGUAACUGAUAUAAACUAGGCAUUUGGGCUGUUUGCUGCCUAACCCCUGAGUUCCUCAGAGCUGCAGCUCCCUGUUCUCUUGGCAGACAGGGGCUGGCUAUGGAUGACAGCAGUCACCUCUCUGGCCUGGUGCACACCAGGUCCACACAUGAGCUGAGGGAUCAUUCUUGCACACCCCAUCCUGGAAGAACCCAGACAAGUUGAAAAGAAAAUCUCUUUUACAUCAUGAUCUCUGAGCACCAAAGCAAAGACCAAGAAAAAAAAAAGCCAAAAACACCCCAACCAACUAAAAUACAAAUAAUUUUUUGACCAGUCUGGUUUUUGUAUAAGAGCUUUAUAAGACUGACUAAGCCAGUGCUGAAUUAAGAGUGGCACAUGUUAUGUGCCUUCCAUAAAGAGUGGGACAGCUGCUGCCAUGCAAAUGUGGGUGCAGGGUCAGACCCUUUACUUCAGACCUACCCUGCCUUCCUGAGGGACAGAAAUUCAUCUGUUAGAAUCCCUUGGAGCUUCUGGAGCUGCUCUUGGCCCUCCUGUGGAUAACUGGGCUGCUGUGGAGCACUGGAGAACUUUCAGCUUGGUACCUGUUAUGUAUAUUAUGGUAAUUCAUACUGAUAGAACACAAAUAUAUAUAUAUAAAAGAAUAAAAUAUCAAGCCUUGAAAUCACAGUAGCAAGGGAAGAGGGGAUUGCUUCACAGGCUGAGGAAACCGCAGCUGGCAGUCGGGUAGGAGGAGUGUCAUUAACAUAGGAAGUGAACCCAGCCGGCACAGGAGAUUGUCGUUCUCACUGGUGUGAACAGGAGGAGGCCCAGCGAUGAUGGCCCAUGGAGAUGUUCAUCUUAGACAGAGGGGACCAUCAAGGACAUACAUCUGCAUACGGGAUUCCGGUAACCGAAGAGUGGAUACACAUCAGUUCCCGGACAAGGUUCUGUCCAGCACAGGACGGAGA